CUUUUAAUUACAGAAAAAUAACUUCAUGAACAAGAUCCAUGCUUCUCACAUUCUCGCUCGAGUUCUGUAAUCCACUGGAAAGUCAGGCAACUUAUUUUC